rnacentral:rRNA from 1 species
AACGAACGCUGGCGGCAUGCCUAACACAUGCAAGUCGAACGAGCCCUUCGGGUCUAGUGGCGCACGGGUGUGUAACGCGUGGGAACCUGAACUCAGGGUCGGCAUAACUCUCAGAAAGGGGUGACAAUACGGGACAAUGUCUACGGACCAAUGAUUUAUCGCAUUUGUAGGGACAAGAGUUGAAUAAGCUCGUUGGUAGGGUAAUAGACUACCAAGGCGACGAUGCAUAGCUGGUUAGAGAGGCUGGUCAGCCACACUGGGACUGAGACCCGGCCCAGACUCCUACGCGAGGCAGCAGUGGGGAAUAUUGGACAAUGGGCGAAGUCCUGAUCCAGCAAGGCCGCUUGAAUUAUGAAGGCCUUAGGGUUGUAAAGCUCUUUUACCCGGGAUGAUAAUGACAGUACCGAGAGAAUAAGCUCCGGCUAACUCCGUG